GGUUUCGAGCCCGGAAGGUCCGGCGCCCAGAGCUAACGGGAGUCCCAGGUUAAAUACUUUAAGAUGAGAAAAAUUGAUCUCUGUCUGAGCUCUGAAGGGUCCGAAGUGAUUUUAGCUACAUCAAGUGAUGAAAAACACCCACCUGAAAAUAUCAUUGAUGGGUAAGAGUUACUAUACUUUGUUGUUUACAGUCUUAAAUCGGUGAAUCCCUUGAGUACUUGGACUGUGUUUUAUAACAACUUGCCCUAUUAAACAUAGUUUAAUAAAUGUUUGGUGGAUUACCUGAUAUCCACUUUUGGUACCAUUUCUGAAACUAAUUGAGUUAUGUAUAUUUAGGUUUUUGAUCCUUUUCUUUAUAAUGCCUAAACUGAACUCUUGAUACAAAUAGGUUUUUUUAGAAGUGGUUUACCAAGGCAAAAACUCAAACAACUUCAUUUUAUGGAAGUGUAAAUUUUAAGGUCUG
rnacentral:sRNA from 1 species